UACGUAGGGCGCAAGCGUUGUUCGGAUUUACUGGGCGUAAAGGGCGCGUAGGCGGCCAGCACAAGUCAGUUGUGAAAUCUCCGAGCUUAACUCGGAAAGGUCAACUGAUACUGUGCGGCUAGAGUGCGGAAGGGGCAACUGGAAUUCUUGGUGUAGCGGUGAAAUGCGUAGAUAUCAAGAGGAACACCUGCGGCGAAGGCGGGUUGCUGGGCCGACACUGACGCUGAGGCGCGAAAGCUAGGGGAGCGAACGGG
rnacentral:rRNA from 1 species